rnacentral:rRNA from 1 species
GACGUAGGGCGCGAGCGUUGUCCGGAUUUAUUGGGCGUAAAGAGCUCGUAGGCGGCUUGUCGCGUCGUCCGUGAAAACCUGCAGCUCAACUGCAGGCUUGCGGGCGAUACGGGCAGGCUAGAGUUCGGUAGGGGAGACUGGAAUUCCAGGUGUAGCGGUGAAAUGCGUAGAUAUCUGGAGGAAUACCGGUGGCGAAGGCGGCAUCCUGGACCGGCAUUGACGCUGAUGAGCGAAAGCUAGGGGAGCAAACGGGG